rnacentral:rRNA from 1 species
CGCGUGAGGGACGAAGGCCUCUGGGCUGUAAACCUCUUUUCUCAAGGAAGAAGAUAUGACGGUACUUGAGGAAUAAGCCACGGCUAAUUCCGUGCCAGCAGCCGCGGUAAUACGGGAGUGGCAAGCGUUAUCCGGAAUUAUUGGGCGUAAAGCGUCCGCAGGCGGCUUUUCAAGUCUGCUGUUAAAGCGUGGAGCUUAACUCCAUCAUGGCAGUGGAAACUGAAAGGCUUGAGUAUGGUAGGGGCAGAGGGAAUUCCCGGUGUAGCGGUGAAAUGCGUAGAUAUCGGGAAGAACACCAGUGGCGAAGGCGCUCUGCUGGGCCAUUACUGACGCUCAUGGACGAAAGCCAGGGGAGCGAAAGGGAUUAGAUACCCCUGUAGUCCUGGCCGUAAACGAUGAACACUAGGUGUCGGGGGAAUCGACCCCUUCGGUGUCGUAGCUAACGCGUUAAGUGUUCCGCCUGGGGAGUACGCACGCAAGUGUGAAACUCAAAGGAAUUGACGGGGGCCCGCACAAGCGGUGGAGUAUGUGGUUUAAUUCGAUGCAACGCGAAGAACCUUACCAGGGUUUGACAUCCUGCGAACCUCUUAGAAAUUUGAGGGUGCCUUCGGGAAUGCAGUGACAGGUGGUGCAUGGCUGUCGUCAGCUCGUGUCGUGAGAUGUUGGGUUAAGUCCCGCAACGAGCGCAACCCACGUUUUUAGUUGCCAGCAUUUAGUUGGGCACUCUAGAAAGACCGCCGGUGAUAAACCGGAGGAAGGUGUGGAUGACGUCAAGUCAUCAUGCCCCUUACACCCUGGGCUACACACGUACUACAAUGCUACGGACAAAGGGCAGCAAACUCGCGAGAGCUAGCAAAUCCCAUAAACCGUGGCUCAGUUCAGAUCGUAGGCUGCAACUCGCCUACGUGAAGUAGGAAUCGCUAGUAAUCG